rnacentral:snoRNA from 1 species
UUGCACAGCGAACACCCAGGGACGCCAUGGUGGCUCUCCCUGGUCUCCUGUCUGUGCCACAGUAACUCUGAUCUUUUCCUCUGCAGUAGAAGAGUUUAGUCUCUCCUACAUGUAUUCAACUGAUCAGAACAGAC